GCAAUAAUCCUAUCGAACAACUCUCCACCAGCACAAAGCUCCAUGACCAAAUGCACAGAAUGUUUGUCUUCAUAAGCUCCUUUAAGCUCAACAAUGUUUGGCUGACCGGUCAUGUGAUGCAUUAUCUGCACUUCCCUUCUUACAUCCUCAAUGUCUUCUUUGUUCACAAGCUUCCUUUUGGCAAUGGUCUUGCAAGCGAACUGCUGACCUGUUGCCUUCUGCGUGCAGAGGUCGACCUAAGACAGGUCCUAUAGGGCCUUGCUUUGUUGCGGGGGGAGGAGAAGGAGGGGCGUGUUUGGAUUGUGGUACGGAAGGUUCAGCAGUUGAAGCGGUUAUGCCCUUGUCUUGUGUGUAUCCAUCUGCGUUAUCGGCUGAGUCCCGUCCUUGAGAACAACAGUUUCCCAUUGUUGCGGUGGGGGAGAGGAAGGAGGUAACAAGCUCAAGGAGGAAGAGAGAUCGAAAGGGUUUUUUUUUUGUGUGUUUUAUUCUCUUAGUAUCAUUUUUUUUCUUCCUCUGGUUUUUGUUUCUUCUAGAGCAAGAAAUCGUUAGGUGUUUUUGGUUGUCAAAUGGCUAUGAAUAGAAUGUUUUUGUUCUCUUCGUUGGCUUUAGGUUCAAAGGGUUAUAGGAUUUGUUGAUAGAGAGGAAGUUUAGGACUAAAGCUUGUCUGUAAUGUUGUUAUUUAAAGUUAAAGAUUUAGGACAAGGUUGAGAGCUAAUCCUGGUGAUUUAUACUUGUUACAAAACUGUAUGUUCUUAUCUUCCAAAUGUCAAUUCACUUUACCCCAUAUAUAUAAUAUUUUCUUUUUAA